UAACAAGGUCUCCGUUGGUGAACCAGCGGAGGGAUCAUUACUGAGUUUACGCUCUACAACCCUUUGUGAACAUACCUAUAACUGUUGCUUCGGCGGGUAGGGUCUCCGUGACCCUCCCGGCCUCCCGCCCCCGGGCGGGUCGGCGCCCGCCGGAGGAUAACCAAACUCUGAUUUAACGACGUUUCUUCUGAGUGGUACAAGCAAAUAAUCAAAACUUUUAACAACGGAUCUCUUGGUUCUGGCAUCGAUGAAGAACGCAGCGAAAUGCGAUAAGUAAUGUGAAUUGCAGAAUUCAGUGAAUCAUCGAAUCUUUGAACGCACAUUGCGCCCGCCAGCAUUCUGGCGGGCAUGCCUGUUCGAGCGUCAUUUCAACCCUCAAGCUCUGCUUGGUGUUGGGGCCCUACAGCUGAUGUAGGCCCUCAAAGGUAGUGGCGGACCCUCCCGGAGCCUCCUUUGCGUAGUAACUUUACGUCUCGCACUGGGAUCCGGAGGGACUCUUGCCGUAAAACCCCCAAUUUUCCAAAGGUUGACCUCGGAUCAGGUAGGAAUACCCGCUGAACUUAAGCAUAUCA
rnacentral:rRNA from 2 species